GUUGGCCAUUAAAAGCCCUCAAAAUACUCACAGCCACUGGCUUGUAACCGAUAUCCAAAGAAGAUCUGAUGGCAAGUGUGUGGUUUUUUCCCUCCUGGAGAACCAGUCGAGGGAAGGGAGUCAAGUGACAAGCAGGUUUGGUCGCUGAAAACAUCCCUCCUGCUCCAACUUUUCCAAACACGCAUGCCGGCACUGUAAUUAAUCUCAGUGAAAUGGAAUGUAUCGUCCUGACCAGUUCAGCUGGUGUGGGCCAAAGUGCAAAGGAACAAGCAAAAAGAAAAAGGAGUUCAGUCUCUCGCUUCGGAGGGCGCAGUUCGGUUUCCCUAACAAGAAAAUCUGACACAACUCCUCUUCGUGAAAGGAACGGGACCGUGGCAAGAGGCAAUGAUAGAUUCCACAAGGCUGUAGAGAGUUCAAAGAAGAGACAGGUUGCUGUUUUUCAAAACGCUAUUCUGCUCGGCAGGAUCUGCAAUGUUUAGAAUGUGUGGUGAGAUUUGGGAACAGGCGCAAAUCAAACUUUUAAAUGCACACACACACACACACACACACACACACACACACAGUGCAGUUACUCACAAAGUGUGCAGAAUAAUUAAGUUGGUAUGUGUGGGGCAGCCAACCCCCAAACCUAGAGACCCCAUGCAGCACUGGUUCUGCGCCCCCUAACCAAUAUGUCGCAAGGGAAGGAAGGAAGGCAUUAUAAGAGAACAAGGAAGCGUUCGUGGUGAGUUCUAGCACGUCUUUUUCUAGAAAAACAGCACCACAUGUGAUUCCCAAGUAGUCUCUCAUUCAGAAACUGAUGAGUGUCUGAGGUGUUUAGCUUCAGCAAGGCCUCAGUGCCUCAGGAGUCCUCAAGCCAGUCAGGAGAGGUGCUGGAACUGAGUUCAAGUGAGUUCCAGCUGAAGAAAAGCGCUGAUCGCAUAUAUGCUGCCUUGAGUUCCACAGCUGAAAGAAGGUAGUGUAUACUUUUCAAUGUUUUUUUUUUAAAAAAAAUCUGUUUUUUCUGUUUCUAGUUGUUUUAUUAGACAUCGUUUUAAGUUGGUUGGCUAAAAUGUGAUUAAUAAAUCAGUGGUGGGAAUGUUCUUAAUAAUAAAUUUACUAAAUAAAUAGCCCAUUCACUUGUUUUUUCUCAUAGCCUUUAGUAUCUAGCUUCCCUUGCCUCUAUGACUGCCACACAGCUGUUUUCCUUGACAUUGACCUUUGCUUGUGUCUUUUGACCAUGGGAUGUCUCUCUGACUCCCAUCAACCAAUCCAGCUGCUGGCUCCUGCAUCACAGCCAGCUGGGUUCUGCCUGUCAUUCUGACCAUUAGUCUUCUCUUAGACAGCUCUUUGCGCUGUCUGUUUCAAGGAUCUAUGUAAAAGCCCUUAAUAUGAAAGCUGAGUAUCCAGUUUUCGAGUGUCGGUGCUUGCUUGAUGCGAAACUGACAGCAGCAGCAUGUUUUUGACCCAUAAAUAUAUUAACGGAAGACUUUGUAGCACGUCUUGGUAGGUUUCCACAAGCCGCAUGAAUAUUCAGCAUCAACGGGAGAGUAUUCAUCCAUUGUAGAGAAUGAAUAUAUAUUUCCAAACUCCUCACUUGAGAAUCAAGAAAUUCCCAUCUCAAGGUCUUCCAGAUCAGCCAAAGUUCAAGUUCUUACUUCUUCACCUUGACAAAUAUACGAGGCAGACGAGUGUGAUACACAGUUCAGAGCAUCGCUGGGUGAUUCAGUAGCAAAGUCAGGAGGAGGCGAAGGAUGAGCAAUAUUAUGUAAAUGCAGCUGUGCUGAUUUACAGGCGCAAAUGGUGUUAGAUUUCAAGGAAUAAAAAUAAAAAACCAAAUUCCUACAAUUGGAUUUUAGGACGGUUAGUCAUCCACAUAAAUAGAAUAAUGACGUGCCUGUCAUUGAAAGGACCUUUUUAUGAGAAGAGUAACUUUGAACUCCUGUUGAAUGCUGAUUUCCUCGUUGAAACUCACCAACAGGAUGGAAUAAGAGGGCAGAUGAAACAGCAGUCACCUGUGGAAUGAGCAGCCCACCAGUUCACUGGCUUACAUUAAGGUUCAGACAUCUACAGUGGUGCCUCGCAAGACGAAAUUAAUUCGUUCCGCGAGUUUUUUCGUCUAGCGAAUUUUUCGUCUUGCGAAGCACGGUUUCCCAUAGGAAUGCAUUGAAAUUCAAUUAAUGCGUUCCUAUGGUCAAAAAAAGUCCAAUCAAAGCCAAAUUUGGUACAACAAUAGUUUAUUAACUGCUCUUUAAAGUCACACAUACUUUAAAGAGCAUAUCAAAAAUUGAAGGAACAAUAAAUUAAGUUUCUAAACAUGACAGAAAAACAUUUAAAAAUCAACAAAGUGUACUGUACAUACAUUUUCUAAGACUCUGGGGAACCACUCGAAGAAGGUUCCUCUUCCACUCUUUGCUUCUUGCUGAGGAACCUGUCCAUGGUCUGCUGCUUCAUCCGCCUUUUCAGCAGCUCCCUGAGAGGCAACAUGACCGUCGUAUCAAAAGUGUUCGCUUGGUCAUGUGCCACGUGCUUGUUAGGGUGGUGCCGCUCUGCAAAAGCCUGCACCUCCUUCCACUUCUGGCAAAUGUCCCUCAGUUCUUUGGAGGACGGCCGUUCCUCAGUUGCUUCCUCCUCUUCCAGCGAGGCCUGCUCCUGCGCAACCUCUGCCUGCAGUUCAACCAGCUCCUGGGUGGUCAGCUCGUGGUCGUGCUCCUCCACCAGCUCGCUGACGUCCUCCUCUGUGACCUCCAGGCCCAUGGUCCUCCCCAAGGCAACAAUGUCCUGCACCACUGUUGACUCUGGUGCAUCAGAGUCACUUGGUGCCACACAGUCCGGCCACAGGCUGCGCCAAGCGCAAUUCAAAUUUCUCUGGCUGAUCCCGUUCCAGGCCGUGGUGAUCAUCUUCAAGCAGGUGACGAUGUCGAAGUGGUCCUUCCAGAAUUCCCGCAGGGUGAUGGUGGUGCAAUCAGUCACCUCGAAGCAUCGCCUGAAAAGCUCCUUGGUGUAGAGUUUUUGAAAUUGGCGAUGACCUGCUGAUCCAUCGGCUGGAGCAGUGGCGUGGUGUUAGGCGGCAGGAACAUGAUGUUGAUGAAGCUGAACUCCUCCAACAAGUCCACCUCAAGGCCUUUAGGAUGAGCAGGAGCAUUGUCCAUCAGAAGCAAAGCCUUCAGCGGCAGGUCGUUGUCCAGCAGGUACUGUUUGACAGCAGGGCCAAAAGCAAGAUUGACCCAGUCCACAAACAGCACACGUGUGACCCAAGCCUUGCUGUUGGAUCGCCACAUGACACUCAGCCGCUCCUUGUCGACCUUGUGUUUCUUGAAGGCCCGUGGGUUCUCCGAGUGGUACACCAGCAGGGGCUUGAUCUUCAGGUCGCCGCUUGCGUUGGCACAGAAGAGCAGGGUCAGGCGGUCCUUCAUGGGCUUGUGGCCAGGCAACUUGGCCUCCUCCUGUGUGAUGAAAGUCCUUUUGGGCAUCCUCUUCCAAAACAGCCCAGUCUCGUCGCAGUUGAAGACCUGCUGUGGAACGUAGCCCUCCGUCUUCACAACCUCCAGGAACUCCAAGGCAAAGUCUUCAGCCGCAGGAACAUCAGAACUGGCAGCCUCUCCAUGCCUGACCACGCUGUGGAUUCCAGAUCUUGCCUUGAACCGGUCAAACCAGCCUCUGCUUGCCUUGAAGACUUCUGGCUCGCCUGAGGUUCCUGGCUGUUCCCGGAUGAGGUCUGCGUGCAAGGCCUUGGCCUUCUCACAAAUGACGGCCUCAGUCACUGUGUCCCCUGCACGCUGCUUCUCUUCUAACCAGAUGAGCAGCAACUUCUCGACCUCCUCCAGAACAGCUGGGCGGUUCUUCACGAUCCUGGUGACUCCCUUGGCUGCAUCAGUCGCAAGGAUCUUCUCCCUCAUCUUCAGGAUGGUCCCGAUGGUCGAUGGGUUCCUGCCGUACUCCCUGGCGAGGUCCGUCACACGCAUUCCACCGUCGUGCUUCCAGAUGAUCUCCUUCUUCAUUUCCAGCGUCACCUUCUCCUUCUUCCUCUCGCCGGCCUCCGCAGCAGCAGCAGUCUUCUUGGGUCCCAUGGCAGCACAGCUCUUACCUUCGUAAACUCAGAAAAAGAAAAAGAAAAUCAGCAAUUCAAACCCAGAACCAAGUCCUUGAAUUCCAAACACCCAACCC
rnacentral:lncRNA from 1 species